ACAAAGGUGCAAUUUGUUUUUUAUUUCAGUGUUUAAUCAGAAAACUGCUCCUUGUUUGUGUGUGUUUGUGAGUGAGGACAGUGAACGAAUGAAGGUUAAUCAAAUGGUGGGCGUGAGUCGAGGGGUUCUUGGAGUUUAAUGCAAACAUAACGAGGUUAGCUGUCAAACUGACAGCAUAAAACAUGUUUAUGUAAAUUAGUUUCUCUGUAAAUGGUGUUUUUGUGGGUGUUUGUUGGGACCUAAAGACCUUCCAGGUUGAGUGCACUUGUGCAGCCUGCAACAGAACGUGUGGGUUUGAAAUCACGUGAGCGUAUGCAUGUGUGUGUGUGCAUCUAUGUGAGUUAUUGCAGAUACAUCCAGAAUGCUUCCCAUUGGUUUUUGAAAAUGGACAGAAACACUGUAACCUUAGUCAACUUGUGAGGACUUAUGUAAAGUCAAUAGAGAGACAAUAAAGUGAGGAUGGUUGUUUAAAGGCAGUGAAUUCAUGCUCAGUUUCAUAUUCACAGGUGUGUCCAUGGUCACCAUUCAGGGCGAGAACAAAUUGGGUUUUUACAUUUUUUAAGCCACAAAUAUCCACUGACUUUUACUGUGUUCUGCAGCUGUUUUUGAAAAAACAAACACACACAUUUUUCUAGACCAGAAGCCUUCACAUGUUGUAGGUUUGGAGCACUUUCCUUAUGACUUCUCUGAGGUUUAGUAGAGAGAGAUAAGAAAAAACUAAAAAAAACCUUCUGGUUGUCUCACACCCCUAUUUAAUCACAUGCAUGACUCAGCAUGUUGUGGAAAAUACAUUUUAAAUAAAGCUGCUUACAUCUAUUUAUUAUUAUUAUUGAAAAUUGCUGAUAUUGAGUCCUCACUUAGUAACGCCAUCCACUCUGAAGAGUUUAGUGCUUAAAAAAAACACAGGUUUCCAGUUUUCCCAUUAAUCAAGUUGUACAUUGAUUAGUUCUAGACUGCAGGCUGUCUCUCACACAUUUCUUGUUUUGUCCAAAAAAUUUUAAACCCCUUCAAAGUGAAACCUCUGUGAAAAAAAGGAAUAUUUUUUUUUUGGAAAAGCUGUCGGUUUUAUCUUUACAAGGGGGGAAAAUGACACAUUAUUUUACUCAACCAAUAUAAUAUUUCAAGCCCAGGCUUGAAUGUUAAAACUAUUUGACCAGAGAGAAAUAAAGUAGAAGAAAAUUGUGCUUAAAACUUUCAAUCUGAUUUGAAUGUUUAGUCAGAAAACAGUCAGCUCCUGCAGCAUGAUGUCUGUUCUGUCAGUAAUGUGUUUCCAUAUUCCAUCAUCUUCAUACAUUUUCUUGUUCUAAUUACAUCUGACACCCAUUGGAUACAUUAUGAGAUCCAUUUUAGAGUGUAAAUGCUUUGUUUUCCCUGGUGUAGAGGAACGUUGCUGAUGUAGUGUGUGAAGCAGAAGGCCAAACUUAAACACAUUUGGUCUAAACUGAGUCCAGACCCUGUGAUCGUUUAGCAGAAAACCUCCUAAAGAUGGCUUUUAGAGAUGUAGCUUAUCUCCAGUUUCCAUAUUCACCAUAUAUUCUGAUUGUUGUUUAAUCAUUCUCCACUCCAGCAUGGCCUCCUUCCUCCUCCCUCCUCCUCCUGCUCCUCCCUGCUCGUCUCACCCCUCUUCCCUCCCACCUCCACCCCCCCCUCACGCUGUGCCUGGCUGCUCUUGUUUGACCUUUGCCCUCGCUUGCAGGUGGGCGGAGCAGGUGUCCAGAGUUGGCCAAUAACAAUCAGGGCGUCGCCCACUGUGACACGCCCUCUUUGGGGUUGGAUAAUGAGCAGGCUCCCGACAGCCGAUUCGCCGAUGAGGAGUCGUGCCCAGUGCACAUUGAGGACUAGACUUCAUGUAUCUCGGGGGCUUCAGGCCUGCUCUCGAUCCGCUCUCCCACCACAUCUCCACCAGCAACAUUAACCUGGCGGAGCAGGGGGCGGAGAACAGGGACGGCCAGAGUCCCAGACAUCCCCGCCGCGGACCGCUCAUCGUGUAACCAGUCUAAACCGCCCCGCCCAGUCAGCCUCCCCACCCCCCGCCGCCCUGCCCUUUGGACUGUGGGUCCCGACCAUCCGUCUCAAGAUUUCUGUCGCCGCUGGAAACCGGCUGGAGUUAAACGAGGAAGGAAGAGGAAUCACAUUUCACAUUGUUGGUGCACUUUUAUCACGCGUUUUCCUCGUUUCGUCGUCAGUGACUAUUUCUGGGAAUGAUUAUCCUUCUGCUAUUUUCUUAUUUAUUACCUAUAUAGGUAUACCUAUGAGAGCUCUGUAUUGUGUUAGUGUCUUUAGAGAAAUACAUGCUGCUCCUCUUUCUCUACCUUCCUCCUUCCUUCCUACUGAUCUACCAGCCAAACAGUCAGGGGCUACUGUGAUCGGCAAUCUGAUUUAUUACUACUAACUUCUUCCUCUGUGUCAGAAACUGUGCUGUGAGUGAGUGGUGGGACACUUUGACCCUAAACAUCGUCUCUCACUGGAGUCAAACGACGCUGACCCCUCGCUUCGGAUCAGGGAGCUUCAUUCUCAACGUUUGCAUGCAGCUUUUCACGUUUUUCCUUCCAUUCCUUGUCACGCUUUAGAAACUCCUGAAUGUAAAUUUAGAAGAAGAAGAAGAAGAAGAAGAAGAAGAACAUUUUUUGAUAGCUGAGCCAACAAACGGUGGCCAAAAUAAACCUGGAGAAACAGACAUAUAAGGUAGAAUGUAGAACAGCGACGGUGGAUUUUAUUGAAAGGGGAUCAUUCACACUUUAAAUCUUCACUUAAACUGGAAAUAAAUCCAAACUUUGAUACACACAACCUUCCAUCUCCAUCCUCUCCUUCAUUUUAGCAUGUCAGUAUUAAUGCAGUGCAACAGCAAGUACGACCAAGCAAUAAAAAAACUCCUGCACCUCCAUCUUUUCACCUCCUGCACUAGUUUAGAGCGGACUGUGUUUGCACUUCAAACCUUUCAGUAUGUUCUGAUUGUCUUCUCCUACUUUGAUGUUGCCAUUAUGAAGGGAAUCAAGGUGAGGAAAACCUCCUGCAGGGCAUUUGAAAAUGAUGUAGCAAGGAUUUUCCUCCACCCUCGUCCUCCCCCAGAAACCUCUCCGAUCUUCCCGAUCCGCCCGCCUCCUCUCGUUUGUGAGCCUUUAGUUGUUUUUUGGUUUUGUAAAACUUUUGAUGUAUAUCUCACCUGUUGUCAAAUCGUUGGUGUUUUAAUUUGUUGCAGAACACUGUGCUGUUUCUUAGAAUGUGGAUGAAAAUAUGUGAAAAUUUCGUGAAGAGGUUUACAUAAUCGUGCAAACAUAACGGAUAACUCAAGAGGAACAAUACCUACAAUUGAUGCACUAUUAGCAGACUCCUAGACGACACUUUCCGGUGCAUGAGGUGAUGACAGAAGCAAGCAUGUUAGUCUAGGUCAGCCUGCACCCUCCUGUAGACUUGAUAAUGGACCACUGCACAAAUCUGAAGCGGUACCAUGUCUUUCUGUCGUGUUGCAUUUCGAUUGUUGGCGCCCUGUUUCUAUUGGCCUGCUCAGGUCAAGACUUCUGCACUACUAUAACCCAGCUGCAAACAGUCACGUGAUCACUGUCUGAAUGUUCAGACAGCGCUGCUUUCUGGCACCAGUCUCAGUAUGAUAUCACAGGAAAUUCACAAAACCCCACUUUUCUAGAGUGAAAAUGAGAAAUAGACUUAAACAGACAAUAAAGAUUUUGCAACUAAA